rnacentral:rRNA from 1 species
GAGUUUUGAUCCUGGCUCAGGAUGAACGCUAGCUACAGGCUUAACACAUGCAAGUCGAGGGGAAACGACAUCGAAAGCUUGCUUUUGAUGGGCGUCGACCGGCGCACGGGUGAGUAACGCGUAUCCAACCUGCCCACCACUUGGGGAUAACCUUGCGAAAGUAAGACUAAUACCCAAUGACGUCUCUAGAAGACAUCUGAAGGAGAUUAAAGAUUUAUCGGUGAUGGAUGGGGAUGCGUCUGAUUAGCUUGUUGGCGGGGUAACGCCACAAGGCGACGAUCAGUAGGGGUUCUGAGAGGAAGGUCCCCCCANAUUGGAACUGAGACACGGUACCAAACUCCGUACGGGAGCA